rnacentral:rRNA from 1 species
UACAGAGGGUGCAAGCGUUAAUCGGAAUUACUGGGCGUAAAGCGUGCGUAGACGGUUAUUUAAGUCAGGUGUGAAAGCCCCGGGCUCAACCUGGGAAUUGCAUUUGAGACUGAAUAGCUAGGGUGCGGAAGAGGGAAGCGGAAUUUCCGGUGUAGCGGUGAAAUGCGUAGAUAUCGGAAGGAACACCAGUGGCGAAAGCGGCUUCCUGGUCCAGCACCGACGUUCAGGCACGAAAGCGUGGGGAGCAGACAGG